rnacentral:misc_RNA from 1 species
UCCCCGUUACCGAGGCAGUCUGAAUAGAAAAAUCCAACUAUUCAUAAGGGUUGCGCUCGUUAAUGGACUUAACCAAACAUCUCACGACACGAGCUGACGACGGCCAUGCAGCACCUGUCACCUUGUUCAAUAAAGCACCCCCGACUUUCGUCGGGGUUCAAGGGAUGUCAAGCCCUGAUAAGGUUCUUCGCUUAGCCUCGAAUUAAAGAACACGCUCCACCGCUUGUGCGGGUCCCCGUCAAUUCCUUUGAGUUUUAAUCUUGCGACCGUACUCCCCAGGCGGGAUGCUUAACGCGUUAGCUUCGCUACAAGAAGGGUCGAUACUCCUUACAGCUAGCAUCCAUCGUUUACGGCGUGGACUA